rnacentral:rRNA from 1 species
AUUGAACGCUGGCGGCGUGCUUAACACAUGCAAGUCGUGCGGUAACAGGCGUAGCAAUACGUGCUGACGAGCGGCGAACGGGUGCGUAAUACAUGGGAAUCUGCCCUUUAGUGGGGAAUAACCCGGCGAAAGCCGGGCUAAUGCCGCAUAAGAUCUUCGGAUGAAAGCGGGGGAUCGUAAGACCUCGCGCUGAUGGAUGAGCCCAUGUCGGAUUAGCAGUUGGUGAGGUAACGGCUCACCAAGGCGACGAUCCGUAGCUGGUCUGAGAGGACGGCCAGCCACACUGGGACUGGGACACGGCCCAGACUCCUACGGGAGGCAGCAGUGGGGAAUAUUGGACAAUGGGCGAAAGCCUGAUCCAGCGACGCCGCGUGUGUGAAGAAGGCCU